CCUACGGGAGGCAGCAGUGAGGAAUAUUGGUCAAUGGACGCAAGUCUGAACCAGCCAUGCCGCGUGCAGGAAGACGGCUCUAUGAGUUGUAAACUGCUUUUGUACGAGGGUAAACGCAGAUACGCGUAUCUGUCUGAAAGUAUCGUACGAAUAAGGAUCGGCUAACUCCGUGCCAGCAGCCGCGGUAAUACGGAGGAUUCAAGCGUUAUCCGGAUUUAUUGGGUUGAAAGGGUGCGUAGGCGGUCGGAUAAGUUAGAGGUGAAAUCCCGAGGCUCAACUUCGGAAUUGCCUCUGAUACUGUACGGCUAGAGAGUAGUUGCGGUAGGCGGAAUGUAUGGUGUAGCGGUGAAAUGCUUAGAGAUCAUACAGAACACCGAUUGCGAAGGCAGCUUACCAAGCUACUUCUGACGUUGAGGCACGAAAGCGUGGGGAGCAAACAGGAUUAGAUACCCCAGUAGUC
rnacentral:rRNA from 1 species